AACGAACGCUGGCGGCAGGCUUAACACAUGCAAGUCGAACGCCCCGCAAGGGGAGUGGCAGACGGGUGAGUAACGCGUGGGAAUCUACCCAGAACUUCGGAACAACUGAGGGAAACUUCAGCUAAUACCGGAUACGCCCUACGGGGGAAAGAUUUAUCGGUUUUGGAUGAGCCCGCGUUGGAUCAGCUAGUUGGUGGGGUAAUGGCCUACCAAGGCGACGAUCCAUAGCUGGCCUGAGAGGAUGAUCAGCCACACUGGGACUGAGACACGGCCCAGACUCCUACGGGAGGCAGCAGUGGGGAAUAUUGGACAAUGGGCGAAAGCCUGAUCCAGCCAUGCCGCGUGAGUGAUGAAGGCCUUAGGGUUGUAAAGCUCUUUCAGUAGGGAAGAUAAUGACGGUACCUACAGAAGAAGCCCCGGCUAACUUCGUGCCAGCCGCCGCGGUAA
rnacentral:rRNA from 1 species